AAUAGAUACCCGGGUAGUCCACGCCGUAAACGAUGAGUGCUAAGUGUUAGAAGGUUUCCGCCCUUUAGUGCUGAAGUUAACGCAUUAAGCACUCCGCCUGGGGAGUACGGCCGCAAGGCUGAAACUCAAAGGAAUUGACGGGGGCCCGCACAAGCGGUGGAGCAUGUGGUUUAAUUCGAAGCAACGCGAAGAACCUUACCAGGUCUUGACAUCCCGCUGACCGGUCUAGAGAUAGACUUUUCCCUUCGGGGACAGCGGUGACAGGUGGUGCAUGGUUGUCGUCAGCUCGUGUCGUGAGAUGUUGGGUUAAGUCCCGCAACGAGCGCAACCCUUGAUCUUAGUUGCCAGCAUUCAGUUGGGCACUCUAAGGUGACUGCCGGUGAUAAACCGGAGGAAGGUGGGGAUGACGUCAAAUCAUCAUGCCCCUUAUGACCUGGGCUACACACGUGCUACAAUGGACGGUACAGAGGGUCGCAACCCCGCGAGGGUGAGCUAAUCCCAUAAAACCGUUCUCAGUUCGGAUUGUAGGCUGCAACUCGCCUACA
rnacentral:rRNA from 1 species